rnacentral:tRNA from 1 species
GGCGGUGUAGCUCAGCGGUUAGAGCAGGGUCUUCAUAAGGCCAAGGUCACAGGUUCAAGUCCUGUCACCGCUA